GCUCUGCAAGUAUAUGCUCACGAGUAAGCAAAGUAAUUGUUCGGAGACUCACGAGAAGGAUGAAAUGAAAUGUGGCAAAACGCAAGUCUUCUCCUUCAAUAAAUACCCAAUCAGCUUUUUGUGUUUUGGUGUCUGUUCUUUUGUCCAAACAUUCUUAGACCUGUGAACUCGUGUCAGUGGCCUCAUAGAUACAGACAUAUUCAGUGUUUGGCCAUUUUGUGUGCCACAUUAUUUCUUUCCCUCCAUUGUAGGGGAAAUCUGCAUCUUUUACUCUUCUUUCCCCCCAAAUCCCAAAGCAAGGGAGAAAAAUGGCGGCUAAAGAUUGGGUUUUGCUGUGCUUGGUGGUGAUUUUGGGCUCUGCUCAGCUCAGUCAUUGCAGUGUGAGUUAUGACAGGAAAUCUCUCAUCAUUAAUGGGCAAAGAAGAAUUCUUCUUUCUGGGUCCAUUCAUUACCCAAGAAGCACUCCUGAGAUGUGGGAGGGCCUUAUACAGAAGGCUAAAGAUGGAGGCCUGGAUGUUAUUGAUACCUAUGUGUUCUGGAACCUCCAUGAACCUUCACCUGGCAAUUAUGAUUUUGAGGGGAGAAAUGAUUUGGUUAGAUUCAUAAAGAUAAUCCAGAAUGCAGGGAUGUAUGUGAAUCUCCGCAUUGGGCCUUAUGUGUGUGGAGAGUGGAUCUUUGGAGGGAUCCCUGUUUGGCUGAAAUAUGUACCAGGGACCACUUUCAGAACCAAUAGUGAACCUUUCAAGAGGGCAAUGCAAGGGUUUGUCCAGAAAAUUGUCCAAAUGAUGAAGAAUGAAAGGCUGUUUCAGUCACAGGGUGGUCCCAUCAUUCUCUCUCAGAUUGAGAACGAGUAUGGGUUAGUAAGCAAGGAUUAUGGCGCUGGUGGUCAUGAAUACAUGAAUUGGGCUGCAAAAAUGGCUGUUGAUUUGGGUACCGGGGUCCCGUGGGUUAUGUGCAAGGAAGACGAUGCACCGGAUCCAGUGAUAAAUACUUGCAAUGGAUUUUAUUGUGAUUAUUUUACCCCAAACAAACCUAACAAACCCACAAUAUGGACCGAGGCAUGGAGUGGCUGGUUUGAGGAGUUUGGAGGCCCGAUUCACCAUCGACCAGUUGAAGAUUUGGCCUUUGCAGUUGCCCGAUUCAUCCAAAAAGGAGGCUCCUUUGUGAAUUAUUACAUGUAUCAUGGAGGAACCAAUUUUGGAAGAACGGCGGGAGGCCCUUUCCUGACUACCAGCUAUGAUUAUGAUGCUCCUAUUGAUGAAUAUGGUUUGCUUAGGCAGCCAAAGUAUGACCAUUUGAUGGAACUUCAUAAGGCGAUUAAGUUAAGUGAGAGAGCUUUAGUUAAUGCGUAUCCGGCUGUUACACCGUUGGGAAACUAUGAACAGGCACAUGUAUUUUCUUCCAAGUCUGGUGGCUGUGCGGCUUUUCUCGCAAAUUUCCAUAUGAAUUCACCUGCCACAGUGACAUUCAAUCAGAGGCACUAUGAACUGCCAGCUUGGUCAAUUAGUAUUCUUCCAGAUUGCAAAACUGCUGUCUUUAACACUGCCAAGGUGGGAUCCAAGACAUCUCAGGUGCACAUGUUGCCCGCUAAUGUGCCAACACACUCCUGGGGAACAUUCACCGAAGAUACAUCCAAUAUUGAUACUGACUCGAAACUAACUGUUAUUGGUCUAUUGGAGCAAUUAAACGUUACCCGGGACACCAGCGAUUACCUUUGGUACAGCACCAGUGUUGAGAUAAGUCCAUCUGAAUCUUUCCUACACGGAGGACGACAUCCAAUUCUCACCGUGCAGUCAGCGGGCCAUGCAUUACACGUGUUUAUCAACGGGCAAUUUUCAGGGUCGGCUUAUGGAACUAAAGAACACACACAGUUUACGUGUACGAGAAGUCUCAGUCUGCAUGCUGGAGUGAACAAGAUUUCUUUGCUCAGUGUAGCUAUUGGAUUGCCGAAUGACGGUGCACGUUAUGAGACAAGGAGCACGGGAGUCCUUGGACCAGUUAUACUGCAUGGACUAGACAAGGGACCUAGGGACUUAACUUGGCAGAAAUGGUCGUAUCAGGUAGGACUGAGAGGUGAGGCCAUGAACUUGGUUUCCCCAACUGGCCUUUCAUCUGUCGAUUGGAUUGAAGGGUCCUUGGUCGCAACACAACAGCCUCUGACAUGGUACAAGGCCUAUUUCAACGAGCCAAGUGGAAACGAGCCCUUGGCAUUGGACAUGGGUAGUAUGGGAAAAGGCCAAGCGUGGAUCAACGGGCAAAGCAUUGGCAGAUAUUGGACGAUCCAUGCAACUGGAGAUUGCAGCUCUUGUACAUAUGAAGGGACAUACAGAUCGCCAAAGUGCCAAUCUGGUUGCGGACAGCCUACUCAACGAUGGUACCACGUUCCUCGAUCCUGGCUGAAACCAACAGGAAACCUGCUGGUAGUCUUUGAGGAGAUAGGCGGAGAUGCAUCGAGAAUCUCUGUCGUUAAAAGAACACUCACUUACAUAUAGAAAGAAAUCAUAUUAAGAUAUUACUGUUAGACUAGUUUAUUUAUCUCUAAGAGCCAGAAUUCACUGUUUUUACCCCCCCCUUUCUUUAGAUCUUGGAUUCUGAAAGUUUUAGUCAUAGUACAUAAGGUGGCAUAUUUGUAUAGACAGGAUACAUUGCCCAGGAACACCACUUACGGUCAUACUAGGUACGAGGUGGGAUUCGAACCGGAGAUGCCGACUUUGACAAGAUUCAGAUGUCAACUUGACCACUGGAAUCUUGUGUUCCAUUAGGGAUGCUAUUUAGGUUUGUUGAUUUUAUUUAAAAAUUCCCAGAAUGGAAUUGCCCGUGAAGAAGAAUAAGUUUGGCACAAUUGCUCCCUCCCUACCUGAGUACAUACAACAGGACAAAACAUCCUUAAAAAGCUGGCUAGCUACUAGCCAGUACAGUAGGCUUCUGAAUACAAAGGAGGUAUAGCUUCUUGUCGUUCUUGAUAGACUAGAUGGGAACAAAAUAGGGAAAGGUGUUUUAGGUUGGGAAAAUGGAAAA